AUGCCGCUGCCCCCUCCCUCUGUAAUCUUUAACCACUCGAAGGAGGCGAGAAACAGAAGGUAAUUCUUCCGCCGGAGUUUCCACCAGAGCUCACCGAUGAAGAAGUUGAGGUCUCCGACAGAAGUCACUGUAUUAGGCUUCCAUCAGCAAAGGAGCUAGAAAUGGAAGUAUCCAAGGGUGUUCAGAAAAUGCGGAACUACGAGUCUACUCUUCUCAUUGCUUAUAAGUGUAGACUGAAACUUCUUGGUUUUUUGCAAUGCAUAACUGGGGAUCUAGAUGCCUUAUUUGUUAAGAGGAUCUCCUUUUAGGAAAGAAAGAUAGCAUAGUGAAGUGAAGAGCAAAAGAACAGAAGAAAAUAGAGAAUCGUGAGGAAUCAAGUCAUUUGCAGGGGAAUGAAGGAAGACAAAGUUUAGUGAAGAGGUUACUGCUUCUCUUGCUCCAGAUGCAAAGAGAGAUGCAGUCAGAUACACUUUCUUCUGUAUGUGAAACAUAUUUCCGGAUCUUAAGCUAUACAAUGCAUUCUUAAUGUCUAGGUAACAUUCAAGUUUCAUUCAGAGAUCAUGGUGAAGUACUAGCGAAAGCUUUGAAGAUAAUGUUGUGCGAUGAUAGACAGCAUGACAUGCAAAAGGCAGCUGCAUUUAUUAAGCAUUUGGCUACUUCCACAUUAUGUUUUGGAUCCGCAGAGUCGUUGGCAGCCCUGGUCCCCGUAAACAUCUACUUGAUAUGCAGAAAUAUCAGCAAUAUGCCUCUGAUCCAAAAUUGAGUGACUCCCUUGCUUCUGUCCUUUGGGAACUUAAUCUUCUGUGGGAAGCAUUAUCAUCCAGAUGUCUCAACUAUGGCUGCUAGCACAUCAAGCAUGAAUAGUACUCAAAAUCGAGUAUAUACAUCUCCACUGUUUCUCCCCAGCAGGCAUGCAGAGACUUGUCAUUGGAACAGGAGUCUUGUAUCCCACAACUUAACGUCAGGAAAGUUAGCAAGAUGAAACUAGCUACGGAAUCUACCCAGUCUACUUUGGACAUGGACAUGUGCAGCGCCAUUGACGAGAAUAAAGUGAAGGAAAAGCUUGAUACAAGAUUCUCUCUUCUCCGGGACAUCAAAGACAAUGAAAGAUUGAGGACUAAAUUGGAGCAUGCCACUUCGUCUUUGCAGCUAUACGAAGAAUACAAAAGCAACAUGACUUCGGUUAAAACGUAUACGCAAGAAGCAGUCUUUGGAACUUGAGCUCGAGCAGGUGAAGAAGAAUUUUCAGCAGAUAGAUAUCUAUUUGUAUUUGUAGUUCAUGCUUCAUCCAUUGGAUCAAAAUAGAAAUUGAUAGAUAUUAUUGAUUGAGACCGUGUAGAUGACAACCAACCGAAAUAAAAGUCGUCCUAAUUUUGUCUUA